rnacentral:rRNA from 1 species
GCUAAACAGCUAGCUUAAACACUCAAAUGACAAACAACAUUAAGACGUUGCACAAAACUUACAACACCACAAACUAAAACAUUCUACCGCCCAAGUAUGUGAGACAGAAAAGGCGCUACCCAUAAAGCUUUAGCAAAAGUACCGCAAGGGAACGCUGAAAGAGAAAUGAAACAAAUCAUCAAAGCACAAUAAAGCAGAGAUUUAACCUCGUACCUUUUGCAUCAUGAUUUAGCUAACACACCUGAGCAAAGCGUGCUUUAGUUCAAGCCCCCGAAACUAAGUGAGCUACUCCGAGACAGCCUAUCAAUUAGGGCCAACCCGUCUCUGUGGCAAAAGAGUGGGAAGAUCUCCGAGUAGAGGUGACAAACCUACCGAACUUAGUUAUAGCUGGUUGCCUAGGAAAUGAAUAGAAGUUCAGCCUCGCACACCUCAACUCCCUGCUACCUUACACAGAUAUGAGCCAGAGAAAUAUGCGAGAGUUAGUCAUAGGGGGUACAGCCCCUAUGAAUCAGGAUACAACCUCAACAGGAGAUUACAGAUUAUACUAAUCAAGAUACACUGCUUUAGUGGGCCUAAAAGCAGCCACCUAGACAGAAAGCGUUAAAGCUCCGGCAGACCAAAAAUCUAUUAUCCAAAUAAUCUAUCUUAAAUCCCUAACUAUACUAGGCCAUUCCAUGCCCGCAUGGAAGAGAUACUGCUAAAAUGAGUAAUAAGAAGUAAACACACUUCUCCUGGCCCGCGUGUACGCUAGAUCGGACACCCCACUAGCAUUUACCGAACCCAACAAAAGAGGGCAGUAUGAGCACAUUAAACAACGAGAAAUCACCAUACUACUCAAUCGUUAACCCCACACCGGAGGGCCCAAUAAAGGAAAGACUAAAAGAAAAGGAAGGAACUCGGCAAACACAAGCCUCGCCUGUUUACCAAAAACAUCGCCUCCUGCAAAAUCCAACGUAUAGGAGGUCUUGCCUGCCCAGUGACAAGUUAAACGGCCGCGGUAUUUUGACCGUGCGAAGGUAGCGCAAUCACUUGUCUUUUAAAUGAAGACCUGUAUGAAUGGCGGAACGAGGGCUUAACUGUCUCCCCUUUCAAGUCAAUGAAAUUGAUCUGCCCGUGCAGAAGCGGACAUAUAAAUACAAGACGAGAAGACCCUUUGGAGCUUAAGAUAAAAGAUCAACUAUGUCAAGAAUACUAAAAAUAAACUUAAACUAAAUAGCACCUGAUCCCUAUCUUCGGUUGGGGCGACCACGGGAGAAAACAAAGCUCCCAUGCGGACUGGGGGAAACCCCCUAAAACCAAGAAAGACAUUUCUAAGUCACAGAAUAUCUGACCCCAUAGAUCCGGCCAUUCGCCGAUCAACGGACCAAGUUACCCUAGGGAUAACAGCGCAAUCCCCUUUCAGAGUCCAUACCGACAAGGGGGUUUACGACCUCGAUGUUGGAUCAGGACAUCCUAAUGGUKCAGCCGCUAUUAAGGGUUCGUUUGUUCAACGAUUAAAGUCCUACGUGAUCUGAGUUCAGACCGGAGCAAUCCAGGUCAGUUCCUAUCUGUAAUGCUACUUUUUCCUAGUACGAAAGGAACCGAAAAAGGGGGCCUAUGUUACCAACACGCCCCACCCCUAUUUAAUGAACACAACUAAAUUAAUAAAGGGAGAGCACAACCCCAAAGUCAAGAUAAGAUUAUUAAGA